CUUAUCCAGAGUGGCGGAGGUACAGGACCUGUGAAACCACGGCAACCACCUGACCCGUUUGGGGCAGGAACGGUGCCAAUUCCUACGACGUGUAUGCGAUCGAAAGAUGAGG
rnacentral:ncRNA from 1 species